CAGAGGACUGAUAGGUAGCAUAUACCGGACCUUAGAAUGGCCGGACCAACGUACCAAAGAAUAGUCAGGAAUAGCCGAGGUCAAGGGAAACAGAAAGAGACACAACGAUAAGGAAAAGCCAGGAGUCAGGGAUGCCAGAAAACAGGGAAGUCAAAAACAAUGCCAAAGUCAAAUAACCAGAAUCAAUAACACACUUUCGGACAACCACAAG